rnacentral:lncRNA from 1 species
GUAAAUUGUUUUAUUGAUCCUCCCCUUUGUUGCGCGUGUUUAAAUUACUCCCUUUCUUAUUUUUAUUUUCAAAUUUAGCUCUCAAAUUCCGUUUGGUUUUGAAACUUAAUCUUUAAUUUGUUUUUUUUAGUUUUUUUAUUAUUUUCAUUAUUAUAUUGUUUAUAUUGUUUAUUAGUAUAAUUAUUACUAUAUUAUUAUU